rnacentral:rRNA from 1 species
CCUACGGGAUGCAGCAGUGAGGAAUAUUGGUCAAUGGGCGCGAGCCUGAACCAGCCAAGUAGCGUGAAGGAUGACUGCCCUACGGGUUGUAACCUUCAUUUAUAAAGGAAUAAAGUGAGGCACGGGUGCCUUUUUGUAUUUACUUGAUGAAUAAGGAUCGACUAACUCCGUGCCAGCAGCCGCGGUAAGACGGAGGAUCCGAGAGUUCUCCGGAUUUAUUGGGUUUAAAGGGAGCGUAGAUGGUUUGUUAAGUAAGUUGUGAAAGUGUGCGGCUCAACCGUAAAAUUGCAAUUGAUACUGGCAGCCUUGAGUACAGUUGAGGUAGGCGGAAUUCGUGGUGUAGCGGUGAAAUGCGUAGAUAUCACGAAGAACUCCGAUUGCGAAGGCAGCCUACUAAACUGCCACUGACAUUGAUGCUCGAAAGUGUGGGUAUCAAACAGGAUUAGAUACCCCGGUAGUC